CAGGCAGUACAAAUUAAAGAAACUGAAGGUUAGAUUAAAGGAGUCUUUUGUGCUUUGUAAUUUAAAACUUUUGUUCUUCAUAACCAGAAUCAAUUCAUUCACAGGCUCAUUAAUGAGGUUUUAUCUCUGGCAAAUAGUAAUUAAAAAGUUCACACUUGCUAAGCCACUAUGCUAGUCACUUAUAUAAUCAGUAGGCCACAAAGUUAUAGCUAAAUAGGAAAAAUAAGUUCUAGUGCUCUAUACCAUUGUAGAAUAACUAUAGUUAACAAUAAUAUAUAUUUUCAAAUAGCUACGAGGAUAUUGAACACCCCUAACACAAAUAAAUAAAUGUUUGAGAUGAUGGCUAUGCUAAUAACCUUGAUUUGAUCACUAUACAUUGUAUGUAUUAAAACAUUACUAUGUACUCCAUGAAUAUGGAGUACAAUUAUUAUUUGUCAAU